rnacentral:tRNA from 1 species
UAAGAUUUUAAGUUAUUUAAAACUAAUAGCCUUCAAAGCUAGAAAUAUAAGAGAUAAUACUUAUAAAACUUA